rnacentral:sRNA from 1 species
CGAUCCCCAGCAAAUGCAGAAACAUUUAGUUGUAAUAAAAUAAAAGAUAAUGACAAGGAAGAUGGCUGCUUCUAUUUCAGGUAUUUCUCAAAACAUUUCAUAUUUUGAAUACAUAUCUUGUUACAAAGUAAUUCAACCCUGGAGAUACAUGGGGCUCACUUGAGGAAAAGUAAUUUAUGAUCAAAUAGAAAUGUUAGUGUCUCUAAAUUUUUGUCAGUUUUUUGGGAAAAGGUGUGUUUUCGUUUUUAAGCAUUAAAUUGAUUUUAAGCUUUGUAAAUUGUAAUUGUAUUUGCUUUUGAAACUAUCGAAGCCAUCAGAAGAAUUCUUUUAUGUUGUCAGCACACUUUAUAACUUUUUAUUACAUAGGAGGUUUCUAUAAAGAUUAGACUGGCUUUUAACAUUUCUGUGACUUUGAGCAUGUUGCUGCUUCAUUCUGGACCUCCAUUUUCAAAUCUGAAAAGAUUAUGUCUUAAGUUUCUUUAAAAAUCCUUUAUCAUCAAUAGGGUCAAAAUGCUCAUUAUAUUUGUUCAGUGCUUUUUCAGACUAACUGGUAAAGGACCAAUCAUGGAAGCUCCACCCCUUACCUCUUCCAGUUAUUACCGUCUUCCUUCCUGUUGUGCAUGCCACGCACACACUCAUGCAGACACACACAUGCG